AUUAAAGUAGUAAAGUGAUCCUCUUUUUAAAGAGAAAGUGAGUAAGUACGUUAGUAAUUCUUUUUUAGAAUUUCACCUCCUUUUCAUGAAGAAGUGAACUACAAUGUAUAAACCGGAACUAAACACCCUGUGCCUGCCUAGCCUGCCUAUAUCUAGGUUACUCUGCUGUCUUCCACUACCACCCAGAACUUGGAAAACUAAAAUUAACAAAACAACAGAACAGACAAAUCAGACAUGGCGGAGAGAGAAGAAAGACGAGGAGAAAAGAAAAAAAGAAAAGAAAAAAAAUCCGGAGAUUCUUGACAACAACCCAUUUGGUAGCUUAUAAAGUCUGUUCUCU